rnacentral:rRNA from 1 species
AGAUUGAACGCUGGCGGCAGGCCUAACACAUGCAAGCCGAGCGGUAGAGAGGUGCUUGCACCUCUUGAGAGCGGCGGACGGGUGAGUAAUGCCUAGGAAUCUGCCUAGUGGUGGGGGAUAACGUUCGGAAACGGACGCUAAUACCGCAUACGUCCUACGGGAGAAAGCGGGGGACCUUCGGGCCUCGCGCCAUUAGAUGAGCCUAGGUCGGAUUAGCUAGUUGGUGAGGUAAUGGCUCACCAAGGCGACGAUCCGUAACUGGUCUGAGAGGAUGAUCAGUCACACUGGAACUGAGACGACGGUCCAGACCUCCGUACGGGAGGCAGCGAGGUGGGGAAUAGUUGGAACAAGUGGGACGAAAGCCUGACUCCAGCCAUCGCCGCGUGUGUAGAAGAGGUCGUUAGGAUUAGUAAAGCUAAGUUUAGGU